rnacentral:rRNA from 1 species
CGUGUAGGCGGUCAGGUAAGUGGAAUGUGAAAUGCCCCGGCUCACCCGGGGACCGGCAUCCCAAACUGCCUGGCUUGAGUAUGGGAGGGGAUGGAGGAAUUCCUGGUGUAGCGGUGAAAUGCGUAGAUAUCAGGAGGAACACCGGUGGCGAAGGCGUCCAUCUGGCCCAAUACUGACGCUGAGGCGCGAAAAGCUAGGGGGAGCAAAACG